GUGCUCGAUUCAGCAGUACAUAUACUAAAAUUGGGCUGACACAGGGAAGGUUAGCAUGGCUCCUGCACAAGGAUGAUAUGCAAAUUUGUGAAGCAUUCCAUAUUUUU
ensembl:snRNA U6 U6 spliceosomal RNA